rnacentral:rRNA from 1 species
UACAGAGGUCUCGAGCGUUAGGCGGAAUCACUGGGCUUAAAGCGUGUGUAGGUGGAUCGUUAAGUACCUUGUGAAAUCCCACGGCUUAACCGUGGAACUGCUUGGUAUACUGGCGGUCUUGAGCCAGCUAGGGGCUACCGGAACAAAUGGUGGAGCGGUGAAAUGCGUAGAUAUCAUUUGGAACGCCAAUGGUGAAAACAGGUAGCUGGGGCUGUGCUG